rnacentral:rRNA from 1 species
UACAGAGGUCUCAAGCGUUGUUCGGAUUCAUUGGGCGUAAAGGGUGCGUAGGCGGCGCGGUAAGUCGGGUGUGAAAUCUUGGAGCUUAACUCCGAAACUGCAUUCGAUACUGCCGUGCUUGAGGACUGGAGAGGAGACUGGAAUUUACGGUGUAGCGGUGAAAUGCGUAGAUAUCGUAAGGAAGACCGGUGGCGAAGGCGGGUCUCUGGACAGUUCCUGACGCUGAAGCACGAAGGCCAGGGGAGCAAACGGG